GACGAACGCUGGCGGCGUGCUUAACACAUGCAAGUCGAACGGAAAGGCCCUGCUUUUGUUGGGUUCUCGAUUGGCGAACGGGUGAGUAACACGUGAGUAUCCUGCCCUUGACUUUGGGAUAACUUCAGGAAACUGCGGCUAAUACCGGAUAGGAGCUCCUGCUGCAUGGUGUGGGUUGGAGAGUUUCGGCGUUUGGGGCUGGACUCGCGGCUUAUCAGCUUGUUGGUGGGGUAGUGGCUUACCAAGGCUUUGACGGGUAGCCGGCCUGAGAGGGUGACCGGCCACAUUGGGACUGAGAUACGGACCAGACUCCUACGGGAGGCAGCAGUGGGGAAUAUUGCACAAUGGGCGGAAGCCUGAUGCAGCAACGCUGCGUGCGGGAUGACGGCCUUCGGGUUGUAAACAGCUUUCGCAUGUGACGAAGCGUGAGUGACGGUAAUGGGUAAAGAAGCACCGGCUAACUACGUG
rnacentral:rRNA from 1 species